rnacentral:misc_RNA from 1 species
GAUAUUUUGUGAGUGUGCUGAGCUGAAUCCUGAACCAGUUGAUGAGGAUGAAGAUGACCAGAACAACUGGGUUUUUAGUGCUGAUCAGAUGGCAUAUGAUGUUGCAAGUAUGAGAUUGACCAAUCAACUUAUCUACCUAUUAUCUCACAUAUUACUUAUUGGUAUCUCUAGAGUAAGAUUCUGGGUGGUGUUUCUCCCAAAAUCCUACUAGCUCAAUUGGUCAUUCAAACUGGGAUCAUGAUGUAGCCGGUAGAGUGCCUGAGGUAGGCCUGUGAAUGACUGCUUCACUCACAUCUUGAAAUGCCAACCAUGUUUAUUUGAUGUCUUGUACUGGUCUGGGACCUGUUUUAUAGCUGUGCUGUGCAAUACAAUAGUUUUACAUUUUCUCUGCUUGUGUUCUUA